AACAUGCUUCCUUAGAUCCAUCUUUGUUUGAUGUCUCUGCUGAGUUCUGCUUAUAGAUUUUAUCAUGAGUAGCUCCAGCUAAGAGGGAUCAGCAACUUUUCUGUUGCACAGUCAAAGAUGCUUGAGUCAUUGGCAUGUAAGAAAAAUAUACCUUCAUUCUAGUCACUUACAUUCUGAUAGAAAUGGCUGUGCUGUAUGUCAUUUUCUCCUAUCAGAAUUUGGCUGGAGUGUGGACAUU
rfam:Ophiophagus hannah scaffold2978.1, whole genome shotgun sequence.